UACAGAGGGGGCAAGCGUUGUUCGGAAUUACUGGGCGUAAAGGGCGCGUAGGCGCCUUCUAAGUCGAACGUGAAAUCCCCGGGCUCAACCCGGGAACUGCGUCCGAUACUGGAAGGCUUGAAUCCGGGAGAGGGAUGCGGAAUUCCAGGUGUAGCGGUGAAAUUCGUAGAUAUCGGGAGGAACACCGGUGGCGAAGGCGGGCGACCUGGGGUAGAUACUGACGCUGAGGUGCGAAAAGCGUGGGGGAGCAAAACAGGG
rnacentral:rRNA from 1 species